GAGAGUUGAAGAACUCCCAAACCCUUUGUGAACCUACCUGGACUUUGCUCCGGCAGGCGGCCCCAGGGCGGGGCCAGUAGCCUGUUUCUACAGGUGCCUGUCGGAAGUAUCAGAUUCCAUAACCAUUUGUCUUCUGAGUCUCGACAGUGAAAAUAAUCA
rnacentral:misc_RNA from 1 species